AACGUAGGAGGCAAGCGUUAGUCCGGAUUUACUGGGCGUAAAGGGCGUCUAGGUGGUUGGGAAAGUUGGCUGUGAAAGCUCCUGGCUCAACUGGGAGAGGUCAGUCAAAACUACCUGACUUGAGGGUCGGAGAGGGGUGUGGAAAUUCCCGGUGUAGCGGUGGAAUGGCUUAGAGAUCGGGAGGAACACCAGUGGCGCAGGCGACACCCUGGCCGACAACUGACACUGAAGCGCGAAAGCGUGGGGAGCAAACAGG
rnacentral:rRNA from 1 species